AAUUAAAAUUUCAUCCUUUGCCAUUGUUAAAAACUGGUAUGGUUGACAGAAUAACUAGACAAAUACACAUAGCAUGUCACGUGUACCUCAUGUUGAUGGACGGGGACCAGUUUUUAACAAUAGAAAUGGAUGAGAUAUUUAACA
rfam:Gossypium hirsutum cultivar TM-1 chromosome 6, whole genome shotgun sequence